rnacentral:rRNA from 1 species
UACGAAGGGGGCUAGCGUUGCUCGGAAUCACUGGGCGUAAAGCGCACGUAGGCGGAUCGCUAAGUCAGGGGUGAAAUCCUGGAGCUCAACUCCAGAACUGCCUUUGAUACUGGCAAUCUCGAGUCCGGGAGAGGUGAGUGGAACUGCGAGUGUAGAGGUGAAAUUCGUAGAUAUUCGCAAGAACACCAGUGGCGAAGGCGGCUCACUGGCCCGGUACUGACGCUCAUGCACGACAGCGUGGGGAUCAAACAGG